CAGGUGGCAGUGGGAUGCAGAGAGCUUCCAUGGAAGCAUCGUGUUGGUUUAAAAAGAGAAAAGAAAGCAGGUGGAGUGCUAAAAAUAAACCAAGAUUGGAACCUGAGACCACGUCUGUCUGGCUGCUCCUGCUACAACAAGGCUGGAGAGGCACCCACGGCAUUCCCGCAGGAGCUGAGGAAGGGGUGACAGGAUUCCUGCUUACACCAUACACAUGAGAUGCAUACAGCAAGAUGGCAGGGAUAUCGCCAAGCCAAGAUAAGCCAGCAGCAUCCUCUCAGCCGGAAAUGCAGCAGGGUCAUGAGCUGUGUCACAAGACAGGACACUCUGGGAGCCACGCAGGAAAAGAAUGGGGUGCAGGACAGCAGUGCUGGUUGGACACAGGGCAUACUGCUCAGCCUUACCUGAAAAGUGCUGCUGACCUCCCUCAGAUGUGUCUGGCUGUGUCUGGUGGGAGGAACAGAGCUGUCAACCCCAGGGCUGUUUGGAGUGGCUGA
rnacentral:lncRNA from 1 species